UAGGGAAUCUUCCGCAAUGGACGCAAGUCUGACGGAGCAACGCCGCGUGAGUGAAGAAGGUUUUCGGAUCGUAAAGCUCUGUUGUUAAGGAAGAACGAGUGUGAGAAUGGAAAGUUCAUGCUGUGACGGUACUUAACCAGAAAGGGACGGCUAACUACGUGCCAGCAGCCGCGGUAAUACGUAGGUCCCGAGCGUUGUCCGGAUUUAUUGGGUGUAAAGCGAGCGCAGGCGGUUAGAAAAGUCUGAAGUGAAAGGCAGUGGCUCAACCAUUGUAGGCUUUGGAAACUGUUUAACUUGAGUGCAGAAGGGGAGAGUGGAAUUCCAUGUGUAGCGGUGAAAUGCGUAGAUAUAUGGAGGAACACCGGUGGCGAAAGCGGCUCUCUGGUCUGUAACUGACGCUGAGGCUCGAAAGCGUGGGGAGCGAACAGG
rnacentral:rRNA from 1 species